rnacentral:snoRNA from 1 species
CAUCACAGGCUGAGUUCUUUCAGUGGUAAAGUAAGUCUGUCCCAUAUACACCUCAAUCCAGGCCCUGUGCUUAGUCUGUAUUGGGGAUGGGGAGACAUGG